AGUUGCCACAAAAUAAAGACUCCUGUCUUCUCUCCUUUUUCUGGGACCCCCACUGCGUAGCUCGGCAUGGGUCCAAGUCUUCAGGGGGGGCUCAGCAAAGACUUGGUGACAGGCUGAUUGAUGGAUUCUCGCCUUGCCUGCCCUCUCGCCCACUCCUGCAGGCUCUGGCCCUGGUCCACUGUCCAGCUGCCUAAGGGGUCUGCUUUUCUUUGUUGAGUCAGCACCAAUGAGUCAGGGCCAAAAUCAGCUGCAGGGAGUGGGGAGUACUGCAGGAAAUUGUGGGGUUGGAGUAAGAAUUUAGUGGCCCUAAAGGAAGGUAUAGCCAGGAGCAUCUGAAGGGAUGGCACUGGGGGAGGUGGUCAGAGGAGGACCCUCUCUGACCUGCUGAUGUUGUUGACCAUUGGCUCUUGAUGGAGCACUUUCCUGUAGUAAAACACAAGAGCUUACUCAAGUCAUUGCCUAGGGCCCUAAAAAAAACCCCAGUCUUGUGUCUUUUGUGCUUCAACUCUACUCUUCUAGAGAUGCCAAAAUGGAACCAAAUCUCCAUGAACUCUGCUAAUGGAAGACGAGGAAAAGGCAGGUAACCUAAGCAAACCCAAAUGGACCAAAUGCAACGCUGAUGGAAUCUAAGUGCUCAGACCAAGGAACGGGGACUGAAAUAACAGUGGACACCACAUGGCAUGAUCCAAUCAGAUUGAGCCCUGGAAAGAUCAUCCCAUGGCAAGAUCCAGUUAGAUUACACUUCCUGGCAUCACCUCAUUGCAAGAUCCAAGAUCAUGCCUCAUUACCUUCUGCCUGUAAAACCUGCCCCAGCCCCCAGCUCCAGGAGACAGAUUUGAGCCAGGCUCCUGUCUUUCUCUGCAGCCUUGCAAUAAACUUUUCUUUCUACAAAAACCCA
rnacentral:lncRNA from 1 species